UGCCUGUAUCUACAUUGCUGAGUGCUGU
rnacentral:piRNA from 1 species